rnacentral:rRNA from 1 species
GACGAACGCUGGCGGCGUGCUUAACACAUGCAAGUCGAACGGAAAGGCCCUGCUUGUGUGUGGUGCUCGCGUGGCGAGCGUGUGAGUAACACGUGAGUAACCUUCCCUUGACUGUGGGAUAACUUCAGGCAACUGGGGCUAAUACCGGAUAGGAGCUCCUGCUGCAUGGUGGGGGUUGGACAGUUUCGGCGGAGGUGGAUCGAGUCGGGGUUUAUGAGCUUGUUGGGUGGGUAGUUGCCUACCCAGCGAUUGACGGGUCGCCCGCAUGAGAGGGUAGCCAGGCACAUUGGGACUGAGAUACGGACCAGACGCCAACGGGAGGCAGCAGGGGGGAAUAUUGCACAAUGGGCGGAAGCCUGAUGAGACAGCGCCGCGAGCGUGAUGCCGGUCUACGGGGGGGAAACCGCAUUCGCCUGUUACGAAGCGGGAGUGACGGUAAUGGGAAAAGAAGCACCGGCUAACUACGUG